AUGAGUUAUGUUCUGGAGUUUUCACCAUUCAUAGCAGAUGUGCUUGGUAUCAACGAGCACACACCAUUCAUAUUUCAUAGCAGCUGUGCUUGGUAUCAGCGAGCACACGCCACAUAUUUAUUGACGUUGGGGCAGCUGGAGAAAUCAAGUAGCCUAUCACUCAUCAGAAAGAAAUCAUGUGGAAAGAGAAAGAAUGGGGAGGUAACAACUGGGGAUAAUGAGGAUGGAAAGGAAGGAGAGCCUGGAGUUUAUGUAAUAGAGAAAUGCUACCAGGGACAAAGACAUGAGCGGAUAGCCGGAUAUAGGGGUGAAAGAAAUUGGAAGAAAAAUGUUGGCAGUCUGUAUCAUCUAUUCUUAGAUGAUAUAGCCAGUGGAUUGUACACAUCUCUUUAUUGA
rnacentral:rRNA from 1 species